UGCCUUAGUAACGGCGAGUGAAGCGGCAACAGCUCAAAUUUGAAAGCUGGCCCUUUCAGGGUCCGCGUUGUAAUUUGUAGAGGAUGAUUCGGCGAGGGCUCCCGCCUAAGUCCCCUGGAACGGGGCGUCAUAGAGGGUGAGAAUCCCGUAUGCGGUGGGCUGCCUUAGCCAUGUGAAUCUCCUUCGACGAGUCGAGUUGUUUGGGAAUGCAGCUCUAAAUGGGAGGUAAAUUUCUUCUAAAGCUAAAUACCGGCCAGAGACCGAUAGCGCACAAGUAGAGUGAUCGAAAGAUGAAAAGCACUUUGGAAAGAGAGUUAAAAAGUACGUGAAAUUGUUGAAAGGGAAGCGCUUGCAACCAGACUUGUCCGCAGUUGCUCAGCCGGUCUCCUGACCGGCGUACUCUUCUGCGGCCAGGCCAGCAUCAGUUCGGGCGGUCGGAUAAAGACCUCGGGAAUGUAGCUCCUCUCGGGGAGUGUUAUAGCCCGGGGUGGAAUGCGGCCAGCCUGGACUGAGGAUCUCGCUUCGGCAAGGAUGCUGGCGUAAUGGUUGUAAGCGGCCCGUCUUGAAACACGGACCAAGGAGUCUAACAUCUAUGCGAGUGUGUGGGUGUCAAACCCAUACGCGUAAUGAAAGUGAACGGAGGUGGGAACCCGCAAGGGUGCACCAUCGGCCGAUCCUGAUGUCUUCGGAUGGAUUUGAGCAAGAGCAUAGCUGUUGGGACCCGAAAGAUGGUGAACUAUGCCUGAAUAGGGUGAAGCCAGAGGAAACUCUGGUGGAGGCUCGCAGCGGUUCUGACGUGCAAAUCGAUCGUCAAAUUUGGGUAUAGGGGCGAAAGACUAAUCGAACCAU
rnacentral:rRNA from 1 species